rnacentral:lncRNA from 12 species
AGCUCUUUGACUUGAGGCGAAAGAAACUAGCAUUUACUCCAUCAAUAGUUGUGCAUGGAACUUAAUGGCAUCAUCCCAUUUAAUCUUCACACCUGGCCUGGGAAGUAAGCUCUGCCCCCAUUUUGCAGAUUAAAGACUUCAUGAAUUUUGUGAGUUUGGAGACAUUGCUCAGGUCCUUCCCUAACCCACCACUUCUCACUGUCUCAAGUUCUCAGGCCACAGAACUGGACCCCCACGGCUGUUCCUCUGCCUUGGUACCCAGUCUGCUCAAAGCCUGGCUGGGAGCAAGGGAUGUCACCUUGAAGCCCAGGAGCACGACCCCCAAGUUUAAGGGCCUUUUUGGAACCAAAAUAUCAAGAUCGAGUCCUGCCAGCUACUCUAAGAGGCACAGUUUGGGCUUCAAGAUUUCAUUCUUGAGGUAGAGAACUCUCAGAUUCUUAGAGAAGGACAAGAGGAGGCUGCCCCAAGCUCUAGUUGUCCUCAAGCCAGUCUGGGGUCAAGGCCCUGCCCUUUCUGCAGCCUGGAGCGUGUCAAGGAAGCAGAUGACACCUCAGAGCAGGCACAUACCAAGCUACUGGAGCAGGACCCCAAAGGCAAUGACACCAAAACUCACUCGCAUAUGCAUCUCCUUUUGCUAUUGAUUUUUUUAAAUAUUCAAAAGUAAAGGUGAUUCCAUCUACUUGUCGCUUCACGAAGGAUCUCCCCUACCCCUGCCCUGGCCUCUCUUCCAAUUCGCUAAUGCGACAGAAACCACAAGAAGAACAAAGAAACCGCAGCCUGGUGUGAAUUGUGGAACACUUUAUUGAACACAAAUGAACAGAAGUCACAUUUCCUCAGUGGUCAGUGCUAGGUGCCAGCAAGGAAGUAAAAGGAAUUUCAGAGGAAAUGUUGGGGACAGAGGUAGAAGUUCAAAGGGAAAUAAUUUAGAGAACAAAAUCAAUGACAGCCUCAUCAGAAAUGCUUCUGAUGGUUGAGAGAAAUGAGGGUCCCAGUGAUGGGGAAGCAGAGAAAGGGUCGAGAACCCCCAGGAGGGAGCGUUUGCCCAGAAAGCUCUCCACUGCCCAGCCCACGGUGUCCUGGGGCGAGCUGGAAGGAAAGACAGCAGGACUCAGGAGGGCCCGAGCUUUGGAGUUAGAGCUGAACUCUUGAGAUAACCAGUCAACCAUAUGCCACUGGCUAAUCGUGGUGCUUUGUGCUACUGAGCUGGCCCAGAUCUUGAUUCCCUCAUCCUCAAGAUGGGACCAAUAAUGCCCAGCUCCUGGGGUUGUUAGGAGGAUGACUGAAAUAAUAAAUAUGAACAAAUCUGACCA